AGCUUUGCGCAGUGGCAGUAUCGUAGCCAAUGAGGUUUAUCCGAGGCGCGAUUAUUGCUAAUUAAAAUGAUGGAGCACUGGGUGUGGUGAAAAAAUAAUGAAUACUGUUUUUCUGAAAA
rnacentral:snRNA from 1 species